UACGUAGGUGGCAAGCGUUGUCCGGAAUUACUGGGUGUAAAGGGCGUGUAGGCGGGGGAACAAGUCAGAUGUGAAAUCCCAGGGCUUAACUCUGGAGCUGCAUCUGAAACUGUUUCUCUUGAGUAUCGGAGAGGAAAGUGGAAUUCCAAGUGUAGCGGUGAAAUGCGUAGAGAUUUGGAGGAACACCAGUGGCGAAGGCGGCUUUCUGGACGAUAACUGACGCUGAGGCGCGAAAGCGUGGGGAGCAAACAGG
rnacentral:rRNA from 1 species